GACGAACGCUGGCGGCGUGCUUAACACAUGCAAGUCGAACGGAAAGGCCCUGCUUUUGUGGGGUGCUCGAGUGGCGAACGGGUGAGUAACACGUGAGUAACCUGCCCUUGACUUUGGGAUAACUUCAGGAAACUGGGGCUACUACCGGAUAGGAGCUCCUGCUGCAUGGUGGGGGUUGGAAAGUUUCGGCGGUUGGGGAUGGACUCGCGGCUUAUCAGCUUGUUGGUGGGGUAGUGGCUUACCAAGGCUUUGACGGGUAGCCGGCCUGAGAGGGUGACCGGCCACAUUGGGACUAAGAUACGGCCCAGACUCCUACGGGAGGCAGCAGUGGGGAAUAUUGCACAUUGGGCGGAAGCCUGAUGCAGCAACGCCGCGUGCGGGAUGACGGCCUUCGGGUUGUAAACCGCUUUCGCCUGUGACGAAGCGUGAGUGACGGUAAUGGGUAAAGAAGCACCGGCUAACUACGUG
rnacentral:rRNA from 1 species